CAUCUCACAGGAUGCGCACGGGGAACGGAAGGGGUGUUUUGCCCUGACACUGGAACAAGAGCAAGUUUUGAGGACCUGAAUAUAAGCUGUGGAAGCUGCCUCAAUGUAAGGAAAAGGAAAGAAGAAAAUCCCAACCAUUCAUAUUUCUAAAGGAGAAAAAUUUCUUGGUGCAGCUUGCCUGGUGAUUGCAUUCAGUCGAGCAGUAUAGAGGGACCCAAUCCAGAUGUCUGCUAGAAAUCUUCUGCUGGAUGUUACAGAUGCAUUUAGGAAUCUCCAGCAUAGCAAGAUCUGGUAGAGCAUAACUACAGUCUCCCUGCCUCUCCUAGGUGCCCAUGCAGAAAUCCCCCAUAAGCCUCCACAAAACAUCUGCUUGUGCCACUGUUUGGCAGCACAUAUUCAUUCCACAAUUCUUGCUACCAAUGUAUUGUUUAGGCAUUCUUCUUAUGGGUGGUCAAUGGCAUUUUCAUGCAAGUCACUCUAUGUCUGUAAUUCUAAAGAGGACAUUGCUUAGUUCAAACUUUCUGAGAAGAACAUUCCUAAUAAAUUCUGAAAAAGUGUAAGUCUUUCCUUUAUCAAAAAUCUCACUUUGUGCUGGUAUAAGUGUUGUUUUGUUUGGGGGGGGUGUGAGAUUGUUUUUUUUAGACCUUUUUAGUUACCUUAUAGUGAGCAUUCUUGCUCUGUUAUCAUACGCAGUAGGGUUUAGAACAGUGAAUGCUAUUCAACUUAAUAUUUAUAAAAACGUGCUUCUUGAGUAGUUCCUCAUUCAAUUUUAAGGUUACACAGGCAGAACAUAUCAUACAGUUGGGCUGAAUAUAAUAUCCACUGAACUGCUUGUGAGAUACAGGAUCAGAACCUCACCAAGUUAUUGAUAUGGGUCAGAACCAACUCACUGUCACUGUGUGUGUGCGUGUGGGGAAGGGCUGGCCCCAGACCUGCAGGAACAUGGUAAGGCCUGCAACAUAAGGCCUGUUGAGGGCACAGGGCAGAGCCGGAA